rnacentral:rRNA from 1 species
UACAGAGGGUGCGAGCGUUGUCCGGAAUCACUGGGCGUAAAGGGUGCGUAGGUGGGCAGGUAAGUCAGUGGUGAAAUCUCCGGGCUUAACCCGGAAACUGCCAUUGAUACUAUCUGUCUUGAAUUUCCUGGAGGUAAGCGGAAUAUGUCAUGUAGCGGUGAAAUGCUUAGAUAUGACAUAGAACACCAAUUGCGAAGGCAGCUUACUACGGGAAUAUUGACACUGAGGCACGAAAGCGUGGGGAUCAAACAGG